rnacentral:rRNA from 1 species
UACGUAGGGGUGCAAGCGUUAUCCGGAAUUAUUGGGUGUAAAGGAGCUCGUAGGCGGGUUUGUCGCGUCUGCUGGUGAAAACCUGGGAGGCUCAACCUCCAGCCUGCAGUGGGUACGGGCAAACUAGAGUGCGGUAGGGGAGAUUGGAAUUCCUGGUGUAGACGGUGGAAUGCGCAGAUAUCAGGAGGAACACCGAUGGCGAAGGCAGAUCUCUGGGCCUAACUGACGCUGAGGAGCGAAAGCGUGGGGGAG